UACAGAGGGUGCGAGCGUUAAUCGGAAUUACUAGGCGUAAAGCGUGCGUAGACGGUUAUUUAAGUCAGAUGUGAAAGCCCCGGGCUCAACCUGGGAAUUGCAUUUGAGACUGAAUAGCUAGGGUGCGGUAGAGGGAAGCGGAAUUUCCGGUGUAGCGGUGAAAUGCGUAGAUAUCGGAAGGAACAUCAGUGGCGAAAGCGGCUUCCUGGACCAGCACCGACGUUCAGGCACGAAAGCGUGGGGAGCAAACAGG
rnacentral:rRNA from 1 species